UGCCAGACUCCUACGGGAGGCAGCAGUGAGGAAUAUUGGUCAAUGGGCUUACGCCUGAACCAGCCAAGUCGCGUGAGGGAAGACUGCCCUAUGGGUUGUAAACCCCUUUUGUCAGGGAGCAAUUGGCGCUACGUGUAGCGUUAUCGAGAGUACCUGAAGAAAAAGCAUCGGCUAACUCCGUGCCAGCAGCCGCGGUAAUACGGAGGAUGCGAGCGUUAUCCGGAUUUAUUGGGUUUAAAGGGUGCGUAGGCGGAGUGCCAAGUCAGCGUUAAAAUCGCGGGGCUCAACCUCGCUCCGCCGUUGAAACUGGCGUUCUUGAGUGGGCGAGAAGUAUGCGGAAUGCGUGGUGUAGCGGUGAAAUGCAUAGAUAUCACGCAGAACUCCGAUUGCGAAGGCAGCAUACCGGCGCCCAACUGACGCUGAAGCACGAAAGCGUGGGUAUCGAACAGGAUUAGAUACCCUAGUAUCA
rnacentral:rRNA from 1 species